GGCAAGUCCAAGUUCGGUAAAUCAAAGGCUUUUCCGCAACCUUUGUGCGACGAUUCGCUCCACAUCCUUUGGUCUAAGAGAUCCCCCGAUCCCUUAGGUGCAAAGCUUAUCAUUCCCUCAACUUCAAGAGUGUCGAUUCUAGGAGAAACGUAUUAUGUGGUAUCAGAGCACACUCUGAAAAGUUGAGUACUCUAUCAUCUCUUCAAUCUUUCAUCAUUCCAUUCAAUCUUCUUUUAUCUUUCCAUUUCUUUUUUGUAUUUAUUUUUGUGUGCUUUUGUCUGGAUUUUCUGUCAUUUUGUAUGAAUUUUCAUAAAUAUUUGACUAAUCCGAAAAUUUCAAAUUUGAUUGUUUCGGAAACUAGAACGAGUCUAGUAUUUUACAAAAUUAAUUCUGGAAUUUUUGAAUUCGAUUUCAUAAUUAGGCAUCAUUUUCAUGUCUUUUUUCUUUGAACUAGUGACUGGUUUUGUUUUGUUUCAAUGGCAGGGGAAGAGAAAUCCAAGUCAUCACGUUCGAGAAGAAGUGCUAACAAUCAAGUCCUUAUCGAUGCUAUCGAAAAGCUUGCAAAAAAAAUUGAUAAAUUUGAAGAAAGAUUUAAGCCGGUAGAAGCACAAAUUAAAAGAGAAAUCCAAGUCAUCAUCUCAGAGGGCGAGAAAAAUCAAAAGGAGCAAAAUAGUCAAUCCUCGAAGAAGGAGCCGGUUGAUAAAAUUUCCCCGAGUAGUCACUCAUCUCACCGGAGCAGUCGA
rnacentral:lncRNA from 1 species